GAAGGGGGCUAGCGUUGUUCGGAAUUACUGGGCGUAAAGCGCACGUAGGCGGAUAUUUAAGUCAGGGGUGAAAUCCCGCAGCUCAACUGCGGAACUGCCUUUGAUACUGGGUAUCUUGAGUAUGGAAGAGGUAAGUGGAAUUCCGAGUGUAGAGGUGAAAUUCGUAGAUAUUCGGAGGAACACCAGUGGCGAAGGCGGCUUACUGGUCCAUUACUGACGCUGAGGUGCGAAAGCGUGGGGAGCAAACAGGGAUUAGAUACCCUGGUAGUCCACGCCGUAAACGAUGAAUGUUAGCCCGUCGGGCAGUAUACUGUUCGGUGGCGCAGCUAACGCAUUAAACAUUCCGCCUGGGGAGUACGGUCGCAAGAUUA
rnacentral:rRNA from 1 species